AAUAGAUACCCAGGUAGUCCACGCCGUAAACGAUAAUCACUGGACGUCAGCUGAGCGUAGCUCAGUUGGUGUCGAAGCUAACGCGUUAAGUGAUUCGCCUGGGGAGUACGGUCGCAAGACUAAAACUUAAAGGAAUUGACGGGGGUCCGCACAAGCGGUGGAACAUGUGGUUUAAUUCGACAAUACGCGAGGAACCUUACCUGGGCUUGACAUGCAUUUGAUCGCCGUAGAGAUGCGGUUUUUUAAGCUUCGGUUUAGACAGAUGCACAGGUGCUGCAUGGCUGUCGUCAGCUCGUGUCGUGAGAUGUUGGGUUAAGUCCUUUAACGAGCGCAACCCCUACUGUCAGUUGCUACUCAUCUUCGGGUGAGGCACUCUGAUGGGACUGCCUGGGAAACCAGGAGGAAGGUGGGGACGACGUCAAGUCAUCAUGGUCCUUAUGUCCAGGGCUACACACGUGUUACAAUGGUCGGUACAAAGGGACGCCAAGCCGUAAGGUGGAGCAAAUCCCAGAAAGCCGAUCUAAGUUCGGA
rnacentral:rRNA from 1 species